GCCUAUCUUGGAUAACAUUUAUGGAAAUCAUGUGCGCGCGCAGACGCUAAAUUCGAGCGCGCCUAUACAAAAACACUCGGUAGGUGGCUCACUAGCUUUGACAUGCACAGCCAGAGCAUCUGUUAGUGAGAGAGCGUAAGGUUUGACUGUGUACUAGAGAGCAGUAGGUUCUUCAACGUCCCUCGACAUCGUAAUAAACUUUUACUAAAGUCAUUCGCGUGGUUCUGCAGUGAUCGUUCAGAAGUUUUGCCAUGGCGAAAAAGAGUUUUUCCACCAAAAAAUCUUUGAGGAAUUUGUUUUCUAAAAGUGAAGCAAAUCUCAAAGAGUCCGUGGAGAAAGAUGACAGCAGCAAAGCAACGCUCAAAUUAUUUAAAUGGAAGUCAAAGAAAUCGGACAGUUUACAGGAGAGCCUAAAGGCUGCAAGAACUGAAUCUGGGACGUUGGGAGCUGGCGACAGUGAAACCCAGGAUGAUGAGAGGUGGACUAAACGCAAGACAUCUCUCUUUGGCACUGUCCUCAGGUCAAAGAAAGUGCAGCACAGUCACUCUGAGAGUGACCUCCGUAAAUCCAAGGGCUUUGCUGUAUCCUUAUCCUGGAAGAAGAAGAAGAAAAGAGAUCUAUCCCAGGGACUUUCAAGCAAUAGUGAAGUCCCAGGGGUCAAGGAUCACAUCAGUGAACAGGAAGAAUUUGACAUCCAGGAAGAAACAGAACAAAACCAGGUUGGUUUGAAGACAGCAGUGCCUACACCAGAACCCUCCAGCACUUCUGACCAAUCCCAGUCCCAGAAUAUCCUGAGUGACAUGUCCAACCUUAAUAAGGAGGAUGCAGGUUUUGUGCCUUCAAAUCUGGACAGUACAUCAAUACCAUUUAUUGACUCUUCACUGUCUGAUAGUGAUGCUUACCAGACACCCCCAGAUAGCCCAUCUGCAGAUAAAUCUGUUCAGUACUCCAACACUGAGUCUAAAAUUACUGACUCAUUCAGUCCUACUCCGAAUAUGGAAACUGCAGCAAGUACAGUCACAUGCAUAGUCCAUAAAUCAAACAUUGAUCUUAACCCGAGUGGUGUUUCUCUUAGGGAUGAUCAUCCUUUCUCUGAUUUUGAAACAUCUAAAUCAGGAAUUUCAGCAGAUGUUGAGGUCAACACCUUCACCUCAGACGUUACUCCUAAUGAAGACGAAAUUAUCUUUCAGAAAGAGUCACACCUGGAACAUAAAGAAUCAAAAGAUGUAACCUCUGCCAUCCUCUCUAUCCACGAGAGUUCCACCUCUCUCAUGCCUGAGAGUUCCAUCUCUUCCAUUCCCCAAAGUUCCAUUUCUUCCACCCUCCACAGUACCACCUCUGUCAUCCUUGAUAGUUUCACAUCAAACAAUACCGUGACCCAGAGUUCCAGCUUAAACUCAUAUUCUGCCGAUACCCUUCCAGAACAUUCCUCCAGUCUUCCACCUUACAUUAUAUCUACUGAGGCAGAAGAUUCUCAAACCAGCCCUGCAAAUAACAGAAACAUGUCUGCCAGCAAUGGUGAUGUAGUCAACACUGAUACAGUUUCAUCUGUGCCAGAUGUGAUUGUAUCUAGUACUUUAUCAUCCUCCAAAACCACAGAGAACAGUUUGGAUGCUGAUAAUGAUAAAAAGCCAAUUUUAUCUCUCUCAAAUACUGAUGUUUCUGAAAGUGAUUUAAGUUCAAUACCUAAAAGUUUACCCACAAUCACUGUACAUUCCACUUCAGAUUCAAAUUUACUGAAAGAAACUAACCCUAAGAUUAAUUGUGAGACCAUUUCCAUGGAAGCUUAUGAAACAAACAAUGAUUUUUCCUUGACAUAUGCCAUUGGCUCAGUGAAACCUAGCCUUGCUGAACCUGUCCUUCUUGAGAAUGAGUCAAAUAUCUCUUUACCCCAGUCAGCUGUGUCAGGAACCUACACCCUC
ensembl:lncRNA